UACGUAGGACCCAAGCGUUAUCCGGAGUGACUGGGCGUAAAGAGUUGCGUAGGCGGCUCGUUAAGCGAGUAGUGAAAUCGUGUGGCUCAACCAUACGGCUAUUACUCGAACUGGCGAGCUCGAGAAUGGUAGAGGUAGCUGGAAUUUCUUGUGUAGGAGUGAAAUCCGUAGAUAUAAGAAGGAACACCAAUGGCGUAGGCAGGCUACUGGACCAUUUCUGACGCUAAGGCACGAAAGCGUGGGGAGCGAACCGG
rnacentral:rRNA from 1 species